rnacentral:rRNA from 1 species
GAGUGAACGCUGGCGGUAGGCCUAACCCAUGCAAGUCGAACGGCAGCACAGUAAGAGCUUGCUCUUACGGGUGGCGAGUGGCGGACGGGUGAGGAAUACAUCGGAAUCUACUUUUUCGUGGGGGAUAACGUAGGGAAACUUACGCUAAUACCGCAUACGACCUACGGGUGAAAGCAGGGGAUCUUCAGACCUUGCGCGAUUGAAUGAGCCGAUGUCGGAUUAGCUAGUUGGCGGGGUAAAGGCCCACCAAGGCGACGAUCCGUAGCUGGUCUGAGAGGAUGAUCAGCCACACUGGAACUGAGACACGGUCCAGACUCCUACGGGAGGCAGCAGUGGGGAAUAUUGGACAAUGGGCGCAAGCCUGAUCCAGCCAUACCGCGUGGGUGAAGAAGGCCUUCGGGUUGUAAAGCCCUUUUGUUGGGAAAGAAAAGCAGCAGGUUAAUACCCCGCUGUUCUGACGGUACCCAAAGAAUAAGCACCGGCUAACUUCGUG